UGUCGUCCAUAUUGAAAAUCUUAGUUAAUCUUUGCUAAAAUUGUAGACAAUGACUGACACCAUCGAUAAUUUAGCUUCGCCGUCUUUGGCGCCAUUUCUAUUUAUUUUCUAAUUGUCAGUAGAAAGGGUGCCAAAGACGGCGAAGCUAAAUAAUCGACGGUGUCAGUCAUUAGGGCACAUUUACACCUCAUUAACACUAUUUCCGGCAAUAAAACACUUUCAACCUAAUCAAAGUUCAAGUGUUUUCAACUGAAUGGCCGUUUUGUGCAGUUAUUAACUGCCAACAGUCAACGUUAUCUAGUUAAAAUUAGCAUGUUAACUUGGUUUGCCAACUUUUAAAUUAAAACAAACGUUACCUUGCUAAGGAGAAAGGUAGACGGGUAUAAACAAAUGAACAUUACCUUUUAAAUACUGUGGUUGAUCUCUGAUCCAUGCCAGGAUGCGUGUCACUACUUUGUGUUGGCCUACACGUCGUCAGGAGAGGACGAGAAACCACAUUGAACACUUACUUGAAGGCACCCGAACAGAUGAACAGCCAUCGGAGGAAAACCAAGUACAACCGCAACAAGACAACAUUCAACCCGAUCAGCUCCUAGCGAACUCUUGCAUCAGUGAUCAGCAACUCCAUACAUCUGACUCAGAUGAAGGGCAAAGGGGCAUUGACAAACAUGAAGCUGUCACAGUGCAACAAGAUCUGACAACACAUGCCACUGCUUUUGUGAUAAAUGCCAGAGCCAAGCAUCGUCUCACACAGAAAGGUGUGAAUGACAUUGUCGCUGGGGUACAGCAGUAUCAAUCAUCACUAUUGGACAACCUCAGGAGGCAGAUGGAGGCAGUGCUAAAGAAGCAUUCAGGAAGCACAUCAGGUCAACUUGGAAAAUGGUGCAAUGGAUAUGUUUGACAAUAUCAUUGACCCUUUUGCUGGCGUUGCAACACCAUUUAGACAGGACAGUGUUAUUAAGAAGCAGUUUAGGUGUUUGGACGCAGAGGAAAUUCAAAUCGCUCGAACCACAGGCAAGAUGAAAUGUGGAGGAUCAAAAUACUUUUUCUUCAAAGACAAAUUAUUUUAUUAUGUACCAUUUAGUCAAAAGUCUAGAACAGUUCUUAUCACACCCAAGGAUUUUGUCUGUGGUUGAAAAGGGACCUCYGAUGUGCAGGGYAAYUUGUUUUCAUGACAUUGUUGAUGGUGCUCUUCUAAAAUCACAUCCCUUAUUUUUCAGAGAAACCAAAGGCAUUGCAGAUUGUUCUGUACACGGAUGAAAUGGAGAUCUGUAAUCCACUAGGAUCCUUUGCAUCCCCCAAAAAACAAGUUGUUAAUGGUGUACUACACCCUAGGAAAUAUAAAUCCAAAAUACAGGUCUAAACUGGCUGCUAUCAGGCUACUUUGGCAUGGCUAGAUCAGCAGACCUCCGUCAAUCUGGUGUAGAUAGAAUCAGGAAAGACAUGGAUGCAUUGUACAGUGGGGUUAAAAUGCUAACUAUUAACGGAGAAAACGAUAUAUGGUGCGAUGUUCUCUCUGUGGAGACACCCUGACACAACAUGAACUAGCAGGGUUCAAAGAGGGUGUGGGGCUUUGCCUACAGUAAGUGCAGACACUGAGUGUUAUUUUGAGGACAUGCAGUCACUCUUCAAUGAGGAUACAUAUACUAAAAGGACAUGGGAGAAGCAUGUCAGACAGUGUGAUGAAAUAGAAAAGGUACAGACUGACUUGCUUCGCAACAACCUGAGAACAACAAAUGGGAUCAAUAGAAGGAGCAACUUAGUUGAAUUCCCAGCCUUUGAUAUCAUACAACAAACUUCGCAAGACAUUAUGCAUGUAAUUCUGGAGGGCGUAGCCCCAUUGGAAAUCAAAUGUGUUUUGAAUCAUCUUGUUGUGUCAGGACAGAUUGAUCUGGACUCAGUGAAUUCUGCUAUUCUUGGUUUCCCUUAUUCCCCUCUAGAUGUUAGAGAUCGGCCYUCCRCAAUUUCUGUUAGUACAUUCAUGUCAAGUGAUGGUAAACUAAAACAGUCAUCUGGGCAAAUGCUUGUCCUGCUAAGGAUAUUGCCAUUUGUUUUGGAGACUUUGGAAGUCAAUGCAUAUAUARACAAGACUGAUAAUUGAGCUAAUAGAGAUUGUACAGYUGGUAUUUGCACAUGUUCUUUCCAUUGCGACUGUGUCUACGUUAAAGUUUAAUCUGAAACAUUGGACGGAGCUUUUUCUAGACCGCAUCGUUACACCUAAACAGCAUUACAUGAUACAUUUGCCAUCACGGAUAAAGUCAUUGGGUCCAAUGGUUAGACAUAUGUGUAUGUGGUUCGAGUCUAAACAAUUUUUCUUUAAACGAUGGGCUUCCAAGCUCAAUUUAAAAAAUAUUUGCAAGUAUUCGAUCAAUCAGAACCAAAUGUAUGAAAGCUGCCAAAAUGUUGACGGUUCAAUGCACCCAAUUGUUUCAAAUGAAAGGUAGAUGGGACCUGUAUCAGAGGAUAAAGAUCUACAAUAUUUAUGUGGAAAAUUGAGGGACUUCCUAGGUUUCAAUGAAGUAUCAGUCAAAUGGCUUGUAAUAAAUACAUAAUUCAGAAGGCCAUGUUCUUUGCCAAAGUACUGAAUGGUAAUAUGCCAGAAUUUGGACUGGUCAAAAACAUAUUUUUUGGUUGAUUCUAGGCUUUAUUGUUCUAUACGCUUUGAUAGAAACGUGGUGGCUUAUCAAGUUGAGGUCCCACACCUUGCACAGGCCACUGAGUUAGUGGAUGCUGAAAAGCUGUUUGAUUUUUUUUUUUACCUCUUAUUACACAAUUAGCAACAAGAGCCAAACGUAUGUACAAGUUAAAUACCAUCUUGGGGAUGUAAUAGAAUUGUUCAACAGUUCAAAUGACUGUGUUCCCCAGAUAUGAAAAGUGUACUGUCUUUGUUCUGUAUUUUGUCUACAUGAUUGCUGUGUGUAAGAUUGACAAUAAAACAGUGAAUUCCAUUUGGUCAUUAUCUGUUCUUAAUAUGUGAAGAGAUGAAAUAAUGACUGACAAAGCAGUUUUGUACUUGUCAGUGUUGAUCAAACAGCUUUGUAAUUCUAAUUUCGAGCAUUAAGUUACUCGGGAACCACUAAAUAAAACUAACAAGUUGUAUUAUCUUAAGAUAAUUAAGGACAAAAAAGCUUGAAACUAGUGAAAUGCURUAACAUUAAAAACUGCCUGGUAAGAAGAAAUAUCUUGUCAGAAAAAUCAAGCAUAUUGCCUUUUGAUUUAAUCUUACUUUUGCAGCCAGGCAUGUGUGUUGUGACUGCGUGUGUGACAAAGAAAAUCGUUUUUUGUGUCGUAUAAAGGGGAAAUGCGUGCAUUUCAGCAUUUGAGUCACUUUUCAAAAGUUGCUAAAAGUUCCAAAUACAUUUUAAAAGUAGCUAAAUGUGUUGCUAGGUGCUGUUUGGAAAAAAAAUAGUUGCCAGGGUUGUCUGAAAAGUUACUAAAUCUAGCAACAAAAGUGCUAAGUUGGCAUCACUGAAUGUAGGGUAUGUAAACAUGAUAUAAAGUGGCAUUGUUUGUAGUGAUACAUUUAUUACAUCUAAUUAUUCAAGUGGCUAGAGAUAUUAGAUGUGGUUGAGCUGCCUUACUGUCAUAAGGAGUAGGAAAUUGUGUUAUUAGCUGUGGUUGUGAGUGUUAUGUCUUGGUCCUUUCC